rnacentral:rRNA from 1 species
GCAAUCUCAAAAUGGAAAUUAAAUACCUCCUUGGAGGCGAAUUUAAACAACCGUGCGAUCGCCCUUCGAAAUAUCAGGGAGCGUGCAAAAUUCCGUAUUCAGGAAGGUGUGGUACGGGGAUUUCGUGAUUUCUUAUACGGUCAGGGGUUUACAGAGAUCCAUACACCAAAGAUCGGUGCAAAAAGUGCAGAGGGCGGGGCAAACCUGUUCCGGUUGGAAUAUUUUCACAGACCGGCAGUUUUACAGCAGAGUCCUCAGUUUUACAAACAGAUGAUGGUCGGCGUAUUUGACCGGGUAUUUGAGACGGCGCCGGUAUUCCGUGCAGAAAAACAUAAUACCAAACGUCACUUGAACGAGUACACCAGCCUUGAUUUUGAGAUGGGAUAUAUUGAUGGAUUUGAAGAUAUCAUGGCGAUGGAGACCGGAUUUUUGCAGUAUAUGAUCGCACUGCUCAAAAAAGAUUAUGCAGAGGAACUCCGGUUAUUAGGCGUCACACUGCCGAACGUCGACAAAAUUCCGACCGUGCGUUUCGAUGAAGCAAAAGAAAAAGUGGCAGAAAAAUAUCACCGCCAGAUCAGAAAUCCAUACGAUCUUGAGCCGGAGGAGGAAGCACUCAUCGGACAGUAUUUCAAAGAAGAGUAUGAUGCGGAUUUCGUAUUUAGAUCGGAAUAUCGUUGUGUAGGGCGUGAGUGUAGUUCUCUGUGGUCGCCGGAUCAUCCAAAAACACGGGAUGGAGGUCCGCACCAAUAAGCGUUGAAAAGCUUCUGGAUGAGCCGAGUGUAGGAGUGAAAGGCCAAUCAAACUUGGAGAUAGCUCGUACUCCCCGAAAGGCAUUUAGGUGCCGCGUCGGAUGGUCACCGUGAGAGGUAGAGCGACCGAUAGGACAAGAGGGCUUCACCGCCUAUCGAGUCCUGACGAACUCCGAAUGCUCACGGUCUGCAGUCCGGCAGUAAGGGGGCGGGUGCUAAGGUCCGUCCCCGAGAGGAGAAGAAUCCAGACCGCCGUCUAAGGUCCCGGAGUUCUGCCUGAGUUAGUCUAACGAAGUCUGGUCCCUAUGACAGCUAGGAUGUUGGCUUGGAAGCAGCCAUUCAUUCAAAGAGUGCGUAACAGCUCACUAGUCGAGGGUCCGGGCAUGGAUAAUAAUCGGGUAUAAGGCAGACACCGAAGGCGCGGGAUAGCAUUUAAGAAAGUAUCGGUAGGGGAGCAUACUCACAGCGUGGAAUGGUGUACGUAAGUUAUCCUGGAGCGGUGAGUAAAGCAAAUGUAGGAAUAAGUAACGAUAAGGAGGGUUAGAUUCCCUCCCGCUGUAAGACCAAGGUUUCCCGGGCAAUGCCAAUCAGCCCGGGGUCAGUCGGGUCCUAAGUCUAAGCCGAACGGCGAUGGCGAUGGCAGAGACGGUUAAUAUUCCGUCACUGCCGCAUGGGGCGACGUGGAGACGGAGCAGUGAAACCACCGCGGGGCGACGGAAGUCCCCGUUGAAGAGUGUAGGUGUUGAGGAUGGCAGGCAAAUCCACCGUCCGAGCUGAACUUGAUAGUAUGGAGUCUUCUUCGGAAGAAUCCAAUAGUGUGGGUAAUCAUACUCCCGAGAAAAUCCGCUAAGCUUAACCCAUGCGGCACCCGUACCGCAAACGGACACACGUGGUCGGGUAGAACAUACUAAGGCGUUGAGAGAUUCAUGGUUAAGGAACUAGGCAAAUUGACCCUGUAACUUCGGGAUAAAGGGUCCUCGUGAUGAGCGAGGCGCAGAGAAUAGGUCCAGGCAACUGUUUAACAAAAACACAGGGCUGUGCAAACUCGAAAGAUGACGUAUACAGCCUGACACCUGCCCGGUGCCGGAAGGUUAAGAGGAGAUGUCACUCGCAAGAGGAAGCAUUGAAUUGAAGCCCCGGUAAACGGCGGCCGUAACUAUAACGGUCCUAAGGUAGCGAAAUUCCUUGUCGGGUAAGUUCCGACCUGCACGAAUGG